GACGUAGGAGGCGAGCGUUGUCCGGAUUCAUUGGGCGUAAAGAGCGCGCGGCGGCUUGGUAAGUCGGAUGUGAAAUCCCGAGGCUCAACCUCGGGUCUGCAUCCGAUACUGCCCGGCUAGAGGUAGGUAGGGGAGAUCGGAAUUCCUGGUGUAGCGGUGAAAUGCGCAGAUAUCAGGAGGAACACCGGUGGCGAAGGCGGAUCUCUGGGCCGUAACUGACGCUGAGGAGCGAAAGCAUGGGGAGCGAACAGG
rnacentral:rRNA from 1 species